ACACGCCCCAGGCGCGCUCGAUUGGCGGAGCAUGGCCCAGGAGGAGGGUGGGAGCCUACCCGAGGUGCGGGCGCGGGUCAGGGCCGCGCAUGGCAUCCCCGACCUGGCCCAAAAGCUCCAUUUUUGUUACCGCUGGGCUCCGGACUACGACCAGGAUGUGGCCACCCUGCAGUACCGUGCCCCCCACCUCACAGUGGACUGCCUCACACAAGCCCUUCCAGGCCCGCUCCACAGUGCCCUGAUCCUGGACGUGGCCUGUGGCACAGGCCUAGUGGCUGCCGAGGGACCUUCAAUGCGGUGCUGAUAGUCGGUGCCCUCAGUGACAGCCACGUGCCCUGCAAUGCAAUACCUGAGCUACGUGUCACCAAGCCAGGUAAGGAGCAGCCCAGCCAACCACCCCCAACCCCCAUCACCAUAUACCUUCCCCUGUGCACAGUGCAGACACAAGCCCCAGAGCCCCUCAGGCUAAGCAAGCGGCAGCGUCCUGCCCAGCGUCACACACAGCCUAGCCUAACAUCCCAGCCACCAACAGCAGACCCAGGCAAACAGGUGGGGCAGACAGGUGGCCAGCUUGGCUCUUAUCCAUGGACAACCAGGAGCAACUCCACCCUCCUCUGCAGGCUCCAUUUCCCAGCCUGGGAGCCAGGUGGUAUAAAUGCUACAAUCCAGUCCCCGUAGGACUGCAGUGAGAAUCAGGUGAAACCCUGUCUCUAAGGCUUUUGCUUUGGUCCUGGCCCACAGUGAGGGCUCAGUUCUGUUCCUUCCUCUCCCUGCUUCCUCACUCAUUCAUAGACUGCCUUCGGGGCUUCUCUUUCUCUUUCCU
rnacentral:sRNA from 1 species